CUUCUAUGUCUCUUUCCCUCUCUAUCAAUUUUCAGUUUCCCGUAGACAUAUGGUUCCCCUCUUCCUCUCUAGCAUCCAUAUCUGAAUUUAUACAAUCAUGGACACACUUUAAAGACCCUUUCGAUGCAAUGGCAGACUUCAAGGAAAAGCGAUGGUGCUUCUACUUCAGUGGAUUAGAGUGAAUGGGCAUCUCAGUUGGAGUAGAGAAAUGGGUCUUACUGGAAGGCAAAAUGAAACGACCCGUCAAAAUUGGAUCUUGAACAUCUAUCACUUUUUAGGAGUUUGUGUGAAUUUUGGGUUUUUUUUCCUGGUUUUAUUCUAUGUGGUUUUGUCUGUAUGAUUGGAAAGUUCAAUUUCUGAUGUACUUUCGGGGGGGUUUGACUGUAGCAGCAGGGAAGUGGGGAAGUGGGUGCCUUUCCGGUGGCACCGCCGGCUCAGUAUAACCCAUUAGACGAGCCGAGUCCAUUGGGAUUGAGGCUGAGGAAAAGUCCUUCCCUUUUGGAAUUGAUCCAAAUGAGGCUUUCUCAAGCUAAUUCACCUAAGGGUGCAAGUUCCAGUAAAAAAGAGCUUAAAGGGGCCGCGGCUUCUGGUUCCUCGAAGAAGCUCAAGGCUUCAAAUUUUCCAGCAACUAUUCUGCGAAUUGGGACCUGGGAGUAUAAGUCAAGAUAUGAAGGGGAUUUGGUAGCAAAGUGUUAUUUUGCAAAGCAUAAGCUUGUAUGGGAGGUUCUUGAUGGCGGGCUCAAGAAUAAGAUUGAAAUUCAAUGGUCUGAUAUAAUGGCUUUGAAGGCGAAUUCCUGAUGACGGAUCGGGGACUUUGGAUGUAGUGCUUGCAAGACAACCUCUUUUCUUUAGGGAGACAAAUCCACAGCCCAGGAAGCAUACCCUGUGGCAGGCAACAUCUGAUUUUACUGGGGGUCAGGCCAGCAUACAAAGGCGUCAUUUUCUGCAGUGUCCACAAGGCUUGCUGGGAAAGCAUUUCGAAAAGCUUAUUCAAUGUGAUCCUCGUCUUAACUUCCUGAGUAAACAAGGAGAGAUAACGUUGGAUUCUCCAUAUUUUGAACCCAGAAUCUCUGUGUUUGAUGACCCAAGUGAAAACAAAGCUGCAUUUGAUUUGAACAAUCAUGAGAGUCCCACUUUCUUCAACCUGAGGGAUGCAGCAUCGCCAUCAGGUGGUCAAUCAUCAUCUUCGAGGAAUGAACAAGACACUGUUAGUAGACCUCGAGAAUCUAUUAGACAUGAAACACCAUCACCCAGCUCAGUAAUGGAUACGCAUGUAAUUGAAGAAAUAAAAAAUGGUGGAGGAGAGCAAACAUGACAUGGCUAUGAAGCUCUUACAAGCUACUUCGAUUAUGGACUUCGCCAAUUAAUGCAAACAUGAUACUCAUUGUAUAUCGGCACAGGGUCUAUCUUAGCAUUUGUUAUCCCUAGCAAUUUUGGUUGUACAUAUUAAAGCCCAAUUAGGAUUUGAUUUGAAUAUCUUUGUGCUUUGUACUGUUGAUAGUAUUGGUUGUAAUAUAUUAUUGCUCGUUUUGUAUUUGUAAUGACAAAUUGGUUUGUUAUUUCGUA